CACUGAAUCAAAAGACAGUGGAUGUGACUGGAAACGUGGGACAGUCUGUCCUUCUGCCCUGCUCCUGCUCUGAACUACAAGCCAAACCACACACUUUCAGAUGGAUCUUUUUUAAAGAAUCAGAUCACAUGACAAUCUUCCCAAAGGAACAGACAAAUCGCUACACAGACAGAGUUCAGCUCUUUAAUGAUCAUCCUCCAGGAAAUCUCUCUCUACUCAUAUCACACCUGACUGUAGAGGAUGGAGGAUGGUACAGGUGUGAGAUCAACAACAGAAUCAGUAAAGACAUCCUACUCACAGUAAAAGGUGCACCAACAAGACCUUCAUCAUCCACACCAGUGAUCACAACAACUUCACCUCCUUCCAGUCCAGGUGUCACAACAAAAGGUACAAAACCAACCCCAGUGCUCAAUGAUGAAUCAACUGCACACUCUGAAACAUCUUCUGAUAAAGAUAAUGAUCAAUACACUACAUUAACUUCUGUUUAUUUAAGAUACAUUUACUGUCUUCUCCUGUUCUGCUAACAUCUGCAGGAAAACAACUUUCUCUUGAAAUUAUUCAAGAAAAUGACACAUCUACAAACCCCCUAUGAAUCAUUCUAUCAAGCUAUUCUCUACUUUUUCAUUUUCCAUCACUGUUUCCUUUAAAAUGUGCAAAGUUCAUAGUGACACAUGUAAACUCCCUUAAGGUCAUGUUCUGACUGAUAUUGUUGAUGUCGCACCAGAUCCUCUUCCAUACAUCCCUGUUGCCAUGGUGACUGUGAUCUUUCUGCACAUUAUUGUGGCUGUGGUUUAUUGCACCACCAGAAAGAAAGGUCCUGGUACAGUUCAUUACAGCAGAGGUGAUGUAGAUGUAACAGUGAGUCUGCAGUAAAGAAGACCUCAGUUGGCUGAUUCAUCAAUAAAUUAAUCAAGCGAUUUGUUCAGAAAUAGUCUUGCUUAAAAUACUGUAGCUUCAUGUCUUUUUCACAGUUUGGUCUCUUGAACCCUUGUACACUUUCAGCUUUGCAUUUUGUGGUUAAUAUUAUUUUAGAUAAAUCAUAGAAUAUUUGUGGUUAGAUUUUAAUUUGUAUUGUUCAUGAUGUUGAUAUCUGAUUCUCACAUACUGUUGAAGAAUGCCUUAUAUUCACAAAAUGUCCAUAAUUAACAUCUAUGUAUAUUUUAUUAGAUUCCUUAGACAAUAUGUUUAUGCUGUUAAGAUUGGAUUGUAAAUGCUAUCAUGAAUGAUGUGUUGUGACAGUGGUAAACCUUAUUUUUUUUAAUGAAACAAAAAUUUAUUAAAACAAAUUCAUGGGUUUUUGUUAUAUUUUGCACCAAACUUGAGAGAAAGAGUACCUCUUUGUC